GGAGAUUCCAUGGACAGAGGAGCCUAACAGGCUUCAGUGCAUGGGGUUGCAGAGUUGGACACAACUGAGUAACACACACAGUGGAACUGGGACUUGAAAUCAACUGUUUUAAUUCCAAGUUCUGGAUGAUGGACAGAGGAGCCUGGCAGGCUUCAGUCCAUGGGGUCGCAAAGAGUCAACACAACUAACACAUAGACACACACACACUGGAACUGGGAUUUGAAACCAACUCUUUCAAGUUCUGGAUGAACUAUUCUGGACCAUAUGAUUUAGGACUUCAUAUGGAGUCUGCAGACUUUAUGACUUUUAAAAAUGGGCUUUGCAAACAAGGCCCCUUCUCUUGAGGCAGGCAGAGAGCCUGCCCUUUGGAAGUCUGAAUGGGGGUGAGCUUUAGCAUGAAGUCAGCAGGAGUCCCGACACAGUUUGGGAGAGGCAUUCUGUCCCUGCGUAUCUUAACAGAAAGUGAAGGCUCCAUGAAAUGGCAGUAUCAUUCCUUUAGUGUGAGAGAACUUGGGAAAAUGUGGGUCCCUUGUGGGGUAGGUGUAAAAAGGACUGGCAGAAGAUCCCUUUUGUGAGCCAAGAAAUUUGGCUUCUUGGAGCAGAUCACGGAGCAUUCACUUUUUCUUCACUCUUGAUCCUUCUGCAGACAACAAAUCUUUCUAUGCUGGAGGACAGCUCUGGUCUCAUCAUUGGUGCUUAUCUCAGAACUUUGGUGUUCUGUGCCACCAGCAGAACUAAGCAACGCCUAGAGGUAUCUGUGGCCAACCUGAGACAUUGGCUUGAGGAAAGAAGACUUAAAAUGCUAAAGGAAUAAUUUCCAUAUUCCAUCAGGUUUUCCUCCCACUCCAGUGCCCAGAGGUCCUAAGAAAUUACUUCCCCACUGAAGAUCAGCUGAUUGGACUGUCUACACUUAAUGAGAAAAUAGAAAAAGGCAGAUCAGGAGAGAUAAUCCCUUCUGGUUUUCCCUCCCAAAAUACUAUUCCAGGAACUGGGGCUCCAUCCAUGAAGACAAUGAAAAUUCCUGCUGCCUUCACAGAGCUUGUCUUCUAAUGAAGGUUGAUUUGACAAAUUAACAAAAUACAUGGUGUGCCAGGUGAUUAGUGCUGUGAAGAAAAAUUAAGUAGGAAAGGAAGGAUAGAGAAUACUCCUGGAGGAAAGCGUUUGCAGUUUAAAACAGGAAAGUCAGGUCUUCAGAGAAGGGGGCAUUUGUGUGAUUGUAUGGAGAAAGCUUUCUGGGCAGAGGUGCAAAAGUCUUGAGGCAGGAGCAGAGUAAAUGUGGGGAAUAGUAGGAGAUGAAGUCAAAGAAGUAAUGAGGGCCAGGAGGUAGAGCCUUGUAGACCAACAUAAGAACUUUGGCUUUUACUCUGAGAUGACCAGCCAUUGGAGGAUCGUAAGCAGGGGAAUGACAUGAUCUUACUUGGGUCUUGGAAGGAUCACUCGGGAUUUUGUGUUGAGAAUAGUUGUGGUGAAGGCAAAUGCAGAAGCAGGUAGACCUGUAGGAGCCUACUACAAUAGUACAGGUGAGAGAAGAUGGCUUGGACCACUUUCUCCGUCUGCUAAGAUGAAUCGUAGCAGUGGAAAUUGUGAGAAGUGGUCAGGUUCUGGAUGUAUUGCGAAAAUAGAGACAACAGUAUUUGCCAACAUAUCAGAUGUGAAAUGACAGAAAAAUCAAAAACAACUCCAGGGUUUCUGGCCUGAGCAACUGGAAGGAUGGAAUUUCCAUUAACAGGGAUGGGGGGAAAAAGGCAAGUUUAUUUUCUAUCAUGAUAAGUUUGAGAUUCCUAUUAGACAUCCCAGAGGAGCUGUCAAACCUAUAGGAUAUAGAGGAGGCUGAAAUUUAGGGGAGUUGCUGAAGAUACAAAUUUGGAAGUCAUCAUAUGAUUAGUUUUUAAAGCCAUGAGAUGGAAAGAUAACUGGAACCCAGGUGUCUUAACUAGGCCAUCUCCCUCAUACUAAAUCAUCAUGCCAAAGUAGGGUUUAUUCCAAGGACAGAGAUGGUUCAGUAUUUGAAAUCUUGCACUGCAAUUCACCAUGGUAACAAUGAAAAAAAAAAAAGUGAUCAUCCCAGUAAAUGAAAAAAAAGUGGUUGAUUUUUUUUAAACACACAUAUAUAUGAAUUUUUUUUUUAAUUUGGCCUAGCAGUGGCAGAAAGGAGCAUCCUUAAUCUAAACAAAGGAUCUGCUGAAACCUUCAGCAACUCAACAUACCUAACAGUGAAAGUUUAAAAGCUUUCCCUUUAUAGUCAAUGAUAUCAAGUCAGAGAUACCUAUGCACACUGCUAUUAUUGUACUACAGGUCCUAGCACAGUGCAAGGUCUUGAUCUGACAUCUCCAUAAUGCAAUAAAAUGAGGGAAAAAAAACAUUGAUUAUAAUGAUUGUAUUAAAUUGCACACUAAAUUGUGUGGUGAUAGUGCUUUUGUGGGGUAUUGUUUAAAUUGGUCCUUAAAUUUGAAUUGAUUGUUUAAUUCCCAUUAGGAAUUUUUCACAGAUCAGGAAACAGAGGCCAAAUUGCACAGCCAUUAAGUAGCAGUGUUCAGCUUUAAUCUCAAAUCUGGGAUUGUCACCUGCCUUGCUCUUUCCAUUUGUACCAUAAGGAAGUAACACCAUAUUUCUUAUGGCUCAGUUUCCUUUUGCCACCACAUCAUCAGUCUUGUGCCUAAUUUCAUACAUUGUCCUUACUAAUGUCCCAACUUUCCUCCCCAUUCCAAGCAAAUCCAUCUUGAACCUGUUGUCAGAACACUCAUUAGUUCUUCAGAAUUCCUUACAUCCAGUGUUGGAGAGAAGGUGGAAUGCCUUUUCCCCACUUCUUUCUUUAUAGAGUGAGUUUAAUAAACAUAAUGUUCAUAUGGAGUCUGCUGUUCCACCCCUUGCUCUUCCUCAUGCAGGUUGAAUGAAUAGCCUAGUUGGUGGAUGAUUGCUUUUGGUCCAUGUUUCUCAUUUGGGUGGAAUUAAUCAAAGUUUGACAGAUUGAAUGUGGGGCAUUUAUUAUUCUCUCUUUACUUCUUCUCUUGACCAGAAGCAGAAACUUUGGUAUCUGCUUUCCCUUCAGACAGGAAAGUAGCAAGCCCAUUCAGGGGUCACAUAAAGCUCUAUUGUCUAACCUAUUGAUAGUAAAAAUGAUAUUUUUUUUCUUCAUCUGUUUUUUAUUUCUCAAAAACCUAGGUUCAGAACUUGGGUGCCACUUUUUUGGCCCUUGAAAAGCCCCCAAAGCUAAAACUUGGGCAUAGGCCAGCAUUUAAGACCUUCCAUAUCUGGAUCUCAAGGUAGAGUAGAAGCUGGGGCUGUGUUGACUUGACCUCAGAGAAUGACUAAAACUUGUGAGGCCAAGGUAGCCGAGGGGAGUGGUUUUCAGCCAUUUUUCCACACUAACACCUUGUCAGCAACAGUGGUUCACUAUUGCCACAGUUCUCAACCAGGAAGCAGUGCACACCCCUAGGGUGGCAUCUCAGAAUCUGUGGGGAAGAUACGUUGAUUAAACAACAAUAAAAGGUGACUGUAAUAUGCCCCCGUGGGGGAGCCCUCUGCAUUCUGCCAGCCCCGUGGGAAGCAAUGACCUAGGUGCUGAUCCUCAGCUGUAUACGUUCACAAGCUGAAUUUUGUUAGCUCCUCCACUGAUAAUUGAUCCCUAGGGUACAGAGUCACACAGCUUACAGUCACAGGAGGCUGAUUUAUAAUCUGGAAUGUCAUUUAACCAAUUUAAAAUGGAACAUACAGCUCUUCCUAGUGCUCCAACUACUCAUGACCCCUUUUCAAACCACUCUCAAUUAGUAUCUACAUGGCUGAAAAUCAAAUGAGUAACCAGCUAUAAGAGGUUAAGAGAAAACUGGACUGACGAAAGAUCUGGUUUUCAACCCCAGUCUUGGCACUGACUUUGAUCUUGGACAAGUCUAAGCCUUUCUGAAUCAGUAACCUUGAGACAAGUCAGCCUGGAUCACAAAAUUGUCAAAUUGAUUAGCACGAUGGAAGCAGUUUGUUCAUAAUCAGAUGUUUUUCACAUGUAAGAAACUCACCAAAGCAUAGAUUCUUUUCAAGGACUUGCUGCCUGUUCUAGGUCUAGCAACACAAGCUUGCUCCAUUGGAGAAAAAAUUCUUUUUUAUAUGUAAACUUGGUGUGCAAGGCCAGAUAUAGUGUAAUUAGUACCAGAUUCUUGCUCUCCAUCCUGCCUCCUUCCUGUAAGCACAUCAUACACUAUCAUAUGUGUUGACUUGAAAUCACACACAUUCAUCAUACACAUUUUAGGUUGGCUGCCUCUUGGAACCAGGCCGCUUCUAGAUAAUGCCAGAGUUUCCAGUUCAGUAGGUCUGGGGUAGGGCCCCAGGAUUUAUAUUUCUAACCAGUACCCAAAUGAUGCUGAUCUAGGGACUACACUUUGAGAACCUCUGAUCAAGUUCAGAUGAUAAUAAGCUUAGCUGAUUCUACUAAGGAAAGCUGCUGCUUCCCUGCUGCUGUACUCUCACUUGAGUGCCUGUCCUUUCUUCCCUUGGGAGCUGCUUUAGGCAUUUGCCUAAGCUGUUACCUCCCAACUGUAUAGACACUCAUCUCUCUCUGACUGUAUCACUGUCUUACUGCAGAAUUUGAAUUUAAAAAUAUAUAGGUUUUUUAAAAAUUCAGUAUCAUUUGGAAACAUUUACCUAGUUGUCUUCAAUUGAGGUAACAGGGAGUGGAUGGUAUCACUUCACAGAAAAGGAGUUAGACAACCAGCUUACGUGAUUGAAAGCUUCUUGAGGGCUGUGUCUUACAUUUUUACGCUCAGGUUCUGGCACUGAGUGCCCUGGCAUUGUUCCACAGGAUUUGUACACACUGACACAUUUAAUCCACACAGCACUCCUGUAAAUCCCUGUUUUACAGAUGAAGGGCCUAGGCUCAGGGAAGUUGAGUGAUUUGCCCAAGUUCACACAGCUGAAAUGUAUGAAAGCCAGGAUUUGGACCCAGGCUGUUUGACACUAGAGUGUGAGCUUUAACCACUAUGUUAUGCCAUGUAAUAAGGUGCUCAGAAAGUUUAUUCACUGUUCUGGAAGACUAUAUGCUUCCCACUUCAUAGAAGAAAAUUAAGUCAACAGGUAUUUCUUCCACUAUAAACUUAUAUAUAUUCAUACUUUUCCCCACUCCCUCUCCUCUAGUCUCAAAAAAGUUUUCUCCCUCUCUCCCUGUUCAAGGCCAAUCCUCCAUUAUGCCCCUGACCCUGCCUAUUUUUAAGCACUGUUCAGAGAUGGGUGCUAUCAUUUGUGGCUGGGUUAGACUUUGUGAAGGUGGUAGCAUUUGAGCCAGAAACAGCUUACAUCCAGAGGCAGGCAAGGGAGGAGAAGAGUCCUAACAUUCGACUCCCAGGCCAGAAACUGGAGGGCAGCAACUGGAGUGUCUUUAUUGAUACAUCAAGUUUGAAUAAGGGAAUUGAACAGUCACCUAAAAAGUUAGUUAGGAAAUAUAAGCACGGAGGGCCUGAGGGCUGAGCUAAGGAAUCCUGACUUUAUUCCAUGGGCAAGUAGGACCCUAUACUGACGAGGGUGCUCAGUGAUCCUACAUAAACCUGGUGGCAGAACAUUUGCCACCUUGUAACCAGGAUACACUAGGUGAGCAGACCAGUGGGACACCCACAAGGAAAAUGAGAGCCCGACUCAGGGCCAUGGCAGUGGAAGCUAUAAGAAAAUAGAUGUGGUACUUGGCAUAUUUUAUU